GAAGGGUAUAAUUUAAGAGUAAGCUUCUAACUUAACUCUUUAGCAGUGAAAAUCUGUUAACGCUUCU
rnacentral:tRNA from 1 species